CAGCAAACCUGCUUGUAAGUGAUAAGACAAGGAGGGGGAGAGCAGCAGAGAUGGUGCUGAAGGGUUUAUACUGACUUCCUGGACAUUCAAGGUGCAGUAUCAUUUCUGUGGCUGCUCCUGCCUCGCUGGAAAAUGCAAAGAACUUUUAGUGGGACCCUGGGAUCCCCAGGUUUCUGCAGUUUACUACAGCCCUCACUGGUGAGUGAAAAGGUGGAGACCGUGCUUUCCAGCGCAAUCCAUGUGGCACCUUUGGCCACUGCUGAAACUGUCUGCAUGAAAGCACACAAGCAGAUUUCAUCUUGUGAGCCUUUGGGACGGAACAAUUGAUUGAGGAUCUGAAGGACAUCUAGUUCAAGGCCACCCAGAAUUCAGUAGCUGCCUGUUGUUGGUACAGCUCUUAAGAUGUGGCUCUUAUGCUCAAGAAGGUGGGACAUCGGACAUGUGCUAUGUGUACUUCAGCUGUCUGUGUAAGCAGCUUCCUCUAAUCCACACAACAAGCCCUUAAAC
rnacentral:lncRNA from 1 species